rnacentral:rRNA from 1 species
UACAGAGGUCUCGAGCGUUGUUCGGAUUCAUUGGGCGUAAAGGGCGCGUAGGCUGCGGGGCAAGUCGGGUGUGAAAUCUCAGAGCUCAACUCUGAAACUGCACUCGAUACUGCUUUGCUUGAGGACCGGAGAGGAGAUUGGAAUUCACGGUGUAGCAGUGAAAUGCGUAGAUAUCGUGAGGAAGACCAGUGGCGAAGGCGGAUCUCUGGACAGUUCCUGACGCUGAGGCGCGAAGGCCAGGGGAGCAAACGGG